ACUAACGCUGACGGUAUGCCUUAUACAUGCAAGUCGAACGGAAAGGCCCCUUCGGGGGUGCUCGAGUGGCGGACGGGUGAGUAACACGUAGGAAUCUGCCCCAUAGUGGGGGAUAACCGGGAGAAAUUCUGGCUAAUACCCCAUAGGUCGCAAGAUUAAAGCAGUAAUGCGCUUUGGGAGGAGCCUGCGGCUGAUUAGCUAGUUGGUAAGGUAAAAGCUUACCAAGGCGACGAUCAGUAGCUGGUCUGAGAAGACGACCAGCCACAAUGGGACUGAGAUACGGCCCAUACUCCUACGGGAGGCAGCAGUAGGGAAUUUUGCGCAAUGGACGAAAGUCUGACGCAGCGAUACCGUGUGUGGGAAGAAGCCCCGUGGGGUGUAAACCACUGUCGGAAGGGACGAAAAAAAUGACGGUACCUUCAAAGGAAGCACCGGCUAACUCUGU
rnacentral:rRNA from 1 species